rnacentral:rRNA from 1 species
UACGUAGGGUGCGAGCGUUGCCCGGAUUUAUUGGGCGUAAAGAGCUCGUAGGCGGCCUGUCGCGUCUGCUGUGAAAUCCCGGGGCUUAACCCCGGGCGUGCAGUGGAUACGGGCUGGCUGGAGGCAGGCAGGGGAGAAUGGAAUUCCCGGUGUAGCGGUGAAAUGCGCAGAUAUCGGGAGGAACACCGGUGGCGAAGGCGGUUCUCUGGGCCUGUUCUGACGCUGAGGAGCGAAAGCGUGGGGAGCGAACAGA